UGUAUGAUGUGGAUGGGAUGAGUUGUGGGAGGCGUCUACCUGUUUUGGAAGUUGGCCAGCAUUUUCGUUAUUGUCAACUCUUUUCUGUGCAUGGAUUCACUGGUGUAUCACCUUGCAGCUUUAAUUGAGAAUGUUCAUCUUUUCUUGCAACCAGAAUUUCUGAAGGUCCUUGUGAAAGUAACUUGAGGGCUGACAAAGAAGUACUAUUCUUUAUUGGACUGAAAAGAGAAAUGGAAGAUUUAAAUCAACUUAUUGCUGAAUUUACAGAAAUGAGUUUUGUCAAGGAUGCAGACUUGGUGAAAGACAUCAUUAAUUACAGAUUAUCUGAAAUACCAUCACUGGCUAAGAGACUGAAUGCUUCAGUGUGUUACAUGCAGAGUAUGCUAGAAAACAUGACUGACUCCGACAAAGAUGCCGUAAACUUUGCAAGAUGCAUGGGCCAGUGUUACUUCCUACACAUCGACACCAA